UCUCCGUAGGUGAACCUGCGGAGGGAUCAUUACUGAGUGAGGGCUCACGCCCGACCUCCAACCCUUUGUGAACCAAACUUGUUGCUUCGGGGGCGACCCUGCCGACGACCUCGUCGCCGGGCGCCCCCGAAGGUCUCCCAACACUGCAUCGUUGCGUCGGAGUUUAACACAAAUCAAACAAAACUUUCAACAACAGAUCUCUUGGUUCUGGCAUCGACGAAGAACGCAGC
rnacentral:misc_RNA from 1 species